rnacentral:lncRNA from 1 species
AUGGAGGUGUGGGCUAUUAUGUGAUAUAAGAGCCAUCUAAAGAGCUAUGGAGAGAAAAAGAUAAUAGAAAUGGCCCAUUUAAAAUAUGUGCAGGGUAUUUUAGUAGACUGAAAUAGAUCCCACGUCAACUUUUUCUUGCUUCUUUAGGAUUUAAAACACAUUUAAAAAUAUUAGACAUUUGAGUCCCAAAGUCCUAAAGUUAUAGUCUAGUUGUCACAGUUUUAAUACACAACAAACAAAACAUGCUGUAGGAUAGUUAGAAAGGACAAACAGCUUAAAUGGACC